rnacentral:tRNA from 1 species
GUGGAUAUAAGCCUAAUCGGUAAGGCAGCGGUUUGCUAAACCGUGAGUAGCCCUUCGGGGUGUCUGAGUUCGAGUCUCAGUAUCCACGCCA